rnacentral:lncRNA from 1 species
CUCAUCCCAUCCCAUCCAUCCCAAUGUUGUCCCCACCCAUCCCAUCAUCCCGCCCAUCCCAUCCAUCCCAAUGGUGACCCCACUGAUCCCAUCCCAUCCCAUCCCACCCCCCCACCCCACAGAUCCCACCCCUCCCCCCCAUGGCAGUGGUGCCCCCCAUUGCCAUCAGUGCCCCCCCGGUGUUCCCAGCAGCGCCGCCAUCCCCCCCUGCAGGCACCGCCCGCAGCCCUCCGGGGCUUUCAGUCGCUGCUCUGUGCGCCCCAUAGGGAGGGAGAGAAAUCACUGUGGCUCCGCCGGGUCACCAUGGAAACACUGGGGGUCACCAUGGGGUCACCAGGUGUCACCAUGGGAUCACCAGGAGUCACCAGGGGAUCACCAGGAGUCACCAUGGGAUCACCAGGAAUCACCAUGGGAUCACCAGGAUCUCACUAUGGGAUCACCAGGAGUCACCAUGGCAGCACUGGGAGUCACCAUGGCAGCACCAUAAGGUCACCAUGGGAUCACCAGGAUCUCAUUCACCAUGGGAUCACCAUCAUCUCACCAUGGGAUCACUAGGAUUCACCAUGGGAUCACCGGGAAUCACCAUGGCAGCACUGGGAGUCGCCAUGGGGUCACCAGGAGUCACCAUGGGAUCACCAGGAGUCACCAUGGGAUCACCAGGA